GACGAACGCUGGCGGCGUGCUUAACACAUGCAAGUCGAACGGAAAGACCCUGCGUUUGUGGGUCUCACGUUAGGCGAGCGGGUGAGUAACACGUGAGUAUCCUGCCCCUGACUGUGGGAUAACUUCAGGAAACUGGGGCUAAUACCGGAGAUGACCUCCUGCUGCAUGGUGGGGGAUGGAGAGAUUCGGCCGUUGGGGAUGGACUCGAGGGUUAUCCGCUUGCUUGGCAAGUAGUGGCAUACAAAGGCUGUGACGGGUAGCCGGCCUGAGAGGGUGACCGGGCACAAUGGGACUGAGAUAGGGACCAGUAGGCAACGGGAGGCAGCAGUCGGGAAUAUUGCGCAACGGGCGGAAGUCAGAUGCAGAGACGUCGGGUGCGGGAUGACGGCCUUCGGGUUGUGAACAGAUUUCGAAUGAGACGAAGCCGGAGUGACGGUAAUGGGUAAAGAAGCACCGGCUAACUACGUG
rnacentral:rRNA from 1 species